GACGAACGCUGGCGGCGUGCUUAACACAUGCAAGUCGAACGGAAAGGCCUGCUUUCCCUUGUGGAUUGCGGGUACUCGAGUGGCGAACGGGUGAGUAACACGUGAGUGAUCUGCCCCCAACUUGGGUAUAAGCCUGGGAAACUGGGUCUAAUUCCCGAUAGGACUGCAGGGUGGUGCCUGUGGUGGAAAACGAUUUUCUAGUGGUUGGGGAUGAGCUCGCGGCCUAUCAGCUUGUUGGUGGGGUAAUGGCCUACCAGGGCGGCGACGGGUAGCCGGCCCGAGAGCGUGGACGGGCACAUUGGGACUGAGAUACGGCCCAGACUCCUACGGGAGGCAGCAGUGGGGAAUAUUGCACAGUGGGCGGAAGCCUGAUGCAGCGACGCCGCGUGGGGGAUGACGGCCUUCGGGUUGUAAACUCCUUUCGACCGCGAGGAAGCCACCUGGUUGGAAGGGUGGUGACGGUAGUGGUAGAAGAAGCACCGGCUAACUACGUG
rnacentral:rRNA from 1 species